AACGCCAUCACGUGGGUUCCAAGCAACCGUGCACUGAGGAGAAGCUGGUGCUCCGGCCAGUUUCUCGUAUUUCCCGACGCCGCCGCUGCAGGCGAACUGGAUUGACGCAAGUUAACGCUAGCCAAGCUCAAAGCGCAUCCGGUUGGCGUUCGAUGUUCAUCGCAUGGUUCUUUAUUCUAUGAUGUUACGAUGACCGGGUGCUCUGCUCCCAAUUGCACCAAUCGCUCGGAAAGCGGAAAGGCUUUUUAUUCAAUACCAUGUGGGAGAUCCGUUAUUGUACGUCGACUGCAGUGGUUGCUUCGAAUGCAACGCAAGAAAGCCGUGUCGAGAGGAUCAAGGAUAUGCGAGGAUCACUUCACACCUGACCAGUUUCUUGACGAAGUAACUAAUGGGAAAAGGCGUUUGAAGCCAAAUGCAGUCCCUAGCAUUUUUUCUCGUAAGUACAUGGGGCAUGCUGAUGCUAUCCUUGUUAAAAAUGAGCUGCCAUACCUUGAGUGAAUAUUGACUACUAAGUUUCAAUUGCCGUGCCUGUAGACUCGCCCUUACAAGUAACACAGGGAGAAGUACCUCAUGACGUUGCCACAUCAAGAUCAGACGCACUUGUCUACUUUCUUUUUCUGGUGUAUGCUUCUUUUUUGCACAAACUACUCAGCACUGGAAAUAGCGCAAGAGACCCCUCGCGCACCUGGCAUCUUCAAGGUUGCCUCGGCGCCUUUAGGUGGGAUAAUGCCCUUGGUCGCACCUAGCAGGCCAGGCGCAGCUCUUAUUUUCUGAAGCCUGCGCUCCAGUCGUCAUGAGUGAACACAAAUGUUUGGUAGUGCUCAAUUGCGUACUGAUUAAUAAGUGCACC